GCUAGAAGGCGGCAUCAGCGCGGUAAGGGCGGGUUCUUGGUCGGCUGGAGGCGGGGCCUGCAAGGCAGGAGGCAGGCCACCGGCCUGCACUGGCUGGCUCUUGUCCAGGGAAAGCAGGCCGGACCGACUCAAGUCUGCCUGUCGCCAUGGCAGCGGGAACGCGCAGCUCUGUAGAAGUGCCCGCCAGCCCGGGAAAUGCUGAACCAAACGGGCCCAUACUUUAUGAGGUGGCCCUGAGUCGGCUCUUCUAGGGAGCCUGAAGAUGGGGACUCAAGUGGUUAGGAGAGUCUGCAACUCCUCCGUGCCUGGAGCGCCCUCUGGUUUGUGGAUUGAGCUCAGCUGCCAAGCUUCUACAAGAGCCUUUAUCCCCUGAGCCAUCUUGCCCACCUCCCUGCAUAGCAGUUAUUUUGUAAAGGGAGAGGAGAUGCAUGUGGUAAAGCCUUGGUCAUCCUUGAUGUGCUUGAUGUUUCUGUUAUGAUGGUAUGGUUUGUUUAGCGCUGUUCAAUUACUUAUAUUCUAAUACUUAAAGAACC